GACGAACGCUGGCGGCGUGGAUUGGGCAUGCAAGUCGAACGGUAUCAUCCUUUCGGGGGUGAGAGAGUGGCGAACUGGUGAGUAACACGUAGGUUAUCUACCCUCAAGACGGGGACAACCCAGGGAAACUUGGGCUAAUACCGGAUGUGAGCAACUUUUAGUUGUUUGAAAGGUGGCGUAAGCUGUCGCUUGGGGAUGAGCCUGCGUCCUAUUAGUUAGUUGGUGAGGUAACGGCUCACCUAGGCAAUGAUAGGUAGGCGGCCUUAACGGGUGGUCGCCCACACUGGGAUUGAGAUACGGCCCAGACUCCUACGGGAGGCAGCAGUCGAGAAUAGUCUACAAUGGUCGGAAGACUGAUAGUGCGACGCCGCGUGAACGAUGAAUCCCUUCGGGGUGUAAAGUUCUUUUAUAUGUGAGCAGUGCUUCUUAUAUUAACAGUAUGGGGAGAGAGAUAUUAGCAUAUGAAUAAGCAACGGCUAACUCCGUGCCAGCAGCCGCGGUAAACUCGU
rnacentral:rRNA from 1 species